GCAACAGGAAAGGGAAGGAGUGUGGAACUGAAACCUCAUGCUGCAGCUUGCUGUAACUGUUACGACAGGUGACGUGAUCCCUGUGCGAUAACUGGAGGUCCGCUGGUUACGUUUGCAAAGUAUUUGGAGAUCCUUCAGGAUACGAGGAGCACGUACAAGAUACUUACCUGUUUCCUGCGAUUCCUCUUUGCUUGAAGCACCAUUGGUAGUUCUUCUGGAAUCUGUUGCACUUUUCAGUGUGGGUUUCUGAGUGAGACCCAAAAUUAUCCUGGUAAUAAACUACAGCUGUUCACUGGACAACUUCCAACUCCUUCUCAUCUUUGAUUUAGAAUGUCUGUGAUUCUGCAGGUAAAGCUGGAGACAGAAAUAUAUUGGGACCUUCUUCCGAGCCAAAACAAAUUCCCAACGUUACACACAUACACCCUCCACUCCAACAUUUGGAUGCAAGAGCGUAUCCAAACAUUUGAGGUUGACAUUUUUGAAGGUGGUUAAAGGAAUUAGGCACUGAACCCUUUCAGAAACAUAGGACUGGCCAGACUGGAUCCAACUCCUGGUCUCUCUAGUCCAAUAUCUUGUUUCCAACAACAGCCAGAAUGAGAGUGCCGAAGAAGUGGGCUGUAGUCCACGAAAGCUUAUGCUCUAAUAAAUUUGUUAGUCU